rnacentral:rRNA from 1 species
UACGAGUGCUCCAAGCGUUAUCCGGAAUUAUUGGGCGUAAAGGGUGUGUAGGCGGCUGUGUUAGUCUUCUGUUAAAUUCUUCGGCUUAACCGGGGGCAUGCGGAAGAAACGGCACAACUAGAGGAUGCGAGAGGUGAAUGGAACUCAUGGAGUAGGGGUGAAAUCCGUUGAUAUCAUGGGGAACACCAAAAGCGAAGGCAAUUCACUGGCGCACUCCUGACGCUGAAACACGAAAGCGUAGGUAGCGAAUGGG